rnacentral:rRNA from 1 species
UACAGGGGGGGCAAGCGUUGUUCGGAAUUACUGGGCGUAAAGGGCUCGUAGGCGGCCAACUAAGUCCGACGUGAAAUCCCAAAGCUUAACUUUGGAACUGCGUCGGAUACUGGAUGGCUUGAAUUCGGGAGAGGGAUGCAGAAUUCCAGGUGUAGCGGUGAAAUGCGUAGAUAUCAGGAGGAACACCCAUUGCGAAGGCAGCUCGCUGGGACGUUACUGACGCUGAGACGCGAAAGCGUGGGGAGCAAACAGG